CUCUCCCAUCCCCAGAAUGCCUUUUCUGACCUUGCUUUUCUUUGCGGGAGCCGCUUGGAGACUGCAAACUUAAGAGCUUAAUGUGCUAUUGAAAGAAACUCUCUGGAAGCCCUUUGUGAAGAGGAGCCAGUUUCGGGUUUCACCAUGGAAUUCUUGAAGCUUCGAGCUAAAAAGAGCUCUGAAGCCUGGGUGGGCUAGACAUCUGAGAUGAGGGUGCUGGCAUGGUCAGAUUCUGGUGAGGAGCCUCUUCAGGGAUGCAGACUGGUGACUUCUCAUUAUGUCCUCACUGGUGGAAAGAGAGUGGGUGAGCACUCUGGCCUCUUCUUUUUUUGUGAAAUUUUAUUUUUAUUUUUUUUACAAAAUAUAAUACAUAUAUUUAAACACAAUUACCUUCACACAGAUUAUUAUAUCAUGGAUCUUAAGAAACAGAUUAAGUGACUCCCUCUGUUGUCUAUUGUAGUCUUGAAGGGCUAUUUAUUUGCAAGUGCAUCCCUGGGCAGCUUAUGUGGGUUUACUGUUAUGUUGGUGUGAGGGCUGCUUUGGGUUUGGAUGUUUUCUGUCUCUUUCCUCACUCUAUUCAGGCUGUUAUCUCCUUUAUGGGGUAUGCAGAUGCAUGCUUCCAGGGAUGUAGGGGCAAUGGGUAGCAUGUGCAGGCAGCACCUUGUCACUUGGCCCUUGGCAGUGACAGCAACCCAUGGAGACAUGGAGGCAGCACGAUGCUACCAGCUGCAGGGACCUGAGCCGUGGAAGUAACCCUCUGGGAAGUGAAAUGGGCCCAGAGCCCAUGACAGUGGAAAUGGCAGUGUAUGUGUGCAUUCCCAGGGAAGUGGGGGAAAUGCAUUGUACUCAGUUGUGGGGACUUCCAUGGUGACAACCCCUGGAGUGACAGGGUGGCAGAUGAUGCUUGGUCAUGGCACCCUCAGUGGUAGCAGGUUAUGCCCACAUCCAGAGUCUGAUAUGGCUGUGGAGGUUUGCACCCACCCUCGUAGCCCAUUCAAGAGGAACCCUGCUGCCUGAGAGCCCGUCCAUGUGUAGAGAAGGAAGUUCCUAUGGCAGUCCUGCACUCUCCAGCAAUAGUGCCUUGCUUCUCUAGUGGGGCCAGGCUUCCUCACAUUCCUUUGGCUGAAGUAUACCACUCCCUCACCCCCUCAGGCUCUUUCUACAUAGCCAGACCUAGUCUUCUCCCUUGAACUUAAUUCCAAAGCCUGUGCCCAGCUGCUGCAGAUGUGUCUCAGGCUACAGUGCACUGGGCAGUGGUACUAUUCAUCUGUGCAGCUCUAUCUCUGCUUUGCCCUCCUCUAACCAGAUGCCAUGCUUUUCUCCAAGGCUUUGAGGCUCCCUUUCCAUCCUGGCUGAUCUUCCUGCCAGUUAGAUGGUCUCCAGGUAUGAAGGUUUCUUUCCUAUUUCACAGCUUCCUCUCAGGAGUGCUGGUCCUGUCCUGAGUCCUGUUUUCUUUUUUAUCUUUCUUCUCUCUCUCUUUUUUUCCUUUUGUUCUACCCAGUUAUGUGGAGGGUUUUUUUGUACUUAUUGGAAGUCUGAGGUCUUCUGCCAAUGUUCAGUAUAUGUUCUGUGAGAAUUGUUCUUCAUGUAGUUUUUUUUUUUUAAUGUGUGUUUCUGAGAGAAGGUGAACUCCACAUCCUACUAUCUCACCAUCUUGAUCUAGCCUCUCUUCUCCAUGCCAUGGUGGCAGUCACCUGGACUUCAACGUGUAGCUUAAAUCAGCUAAUCCUAGGUGACAAUUUCAUUAUUUAUCUUAUUUUCUUAAUAUUUAUUGGGUAAAAAAUUAGCAGACUAGAUAUCCUUCACAUGUGAAGCACGAAUAAAAGCAAAUAUCUUACAUGUACAACCUUAGCAAACAAUGUUAAUUCUCUUAUGGUCAUAAAUAAAAAUUAUAAACAUGAAUCAAAACAUAAACCAGUAAACUUUACCAGGAGCACCAAUACUGG
rnacentral:lncRNA from 1 species